rnacentral:rRNA from 1 species
GACGAACGCUGGCGGCGUGCUUAACACAUGCAAGUCGAACGAUGAAGAAGAGCUUGCUCUUCGGAUUAGUGGCGAACGGGCGAGUAACACGUGACUAACCUGCCCCUUUCUCUGGGAUAACGCUCCGAAAGGAAUGCUAAUACCGGAUACUCACAUCGAGGCACAUGCCUUGAUGUGGAAAGUUUUUCGGAAAGGGAUGGAGUCGCGGCCUAUCAGCUUGUUGGUGAGGUAACGGCUCACCAAGGCGACGACGGGUAGCCGGCCUGAGAGGGCGACCGGCAAAACGGGGACUGAGACACGGCCCAGACUCCUACGGGAGGCAGCAGUGGGGAAUAUUGCACAAUGGGCGAAAGCCUGAUGCAGCGACGCCGCGUGAGGGAUGAAGGUCUUCGGAUUGUAAACCUCUUUCAGUAGGGACGAAGCGAAAGUGACGGUACCUAAAGAAGAAGCACCGGCUAACUACGUGCCAGCAGCCGCCGUAA